ACUAAGCGUACACGGUGGAUGCCCUGGCAGUCAGAGGCGAUGAAGGACGUGCUAAUCUGCGAUAAGCGUCGGUAAGGUGAUAUGAACCGUUAUAACCGGCGAUUUCCGAAUGGGGAAACCCAGUGUGUUUCGACACACUAUCAUUAACUGAAUCCAUAGGUUAAUGAGGCGAACCGGGGGAACUGAAACAUCUAAGUACCCCGAGGAAAAGAAAUCAACCGAGAUUCCCCCAGUAGCGGCGAGCGAACGGGGAGGAGCCCAGAGCCUGAAUCAGUGUGUGUGUUAGUGGAAGCGUCUGGAAAGGCGCGCGAUACAGGGUGACAGCCCCGUACACAAAAAUGCACAUGCUGUGAGCUCGAUGAGUAGGGCGGGACACGUGGUAUCCUGUCUGAAUAUGGGGGGACCAUCCUCCAAGGCUAAAUACUCCUGACUGACCGAUAGUGAACCAGUACCGUGAGGGAAAGGCGAAAAGAACCCCGGCGAGGGGAGUGAAAAAGAACCUGAAACCGUGUACGUACAAGCAGUGGGAGCACAGAGCAAUCUGUGUGACUGCGUACCUUUUGUAUAAUGGGUCAGCGACUUAUAUUCUGUAGCAAGGUUAACCGAAUAGGGGAGCCGAAGGGAAACCGAGUCUUAACUGGGCGUUAAGUUGCAGGGUAUAGACCCGAAACCCGGUGAUCUAGCCAUGGGCAGGUUGAAGGUUGGGUAACACUAACUGGAGGACCGAACCGACUAAUGUUGAAAAAUUAGCGGAUGACUUGUGGCU
rnacentral:rRNA from 1 species